UACAUGUGGGGCAAGCGUUGUUCGGAAUUACUGGGCAUAAAGGGUGCGUAGGCGGCUUGUUAAGUCAGGGGUGAAAGUUUUCGGCCCAACCGGAAAAUCGCCUUUGAUACUGGCGAGCUCGAGUGCGUGAGGGGUAACCGGAACGAGCAGUGUAGCGGUGAAAUGCGUAGAUAUCGGAAGGAACACCAGAGGCGAAAGCGGCUUCCUGGUCCAGCACCGACGUUCAGGCACGAAAGCGUGGGGAGCAAACAGG
rnacentral:rRNA from 1 species